rnacentral:misc_RNA from 1 species
AACGCAUAUUGCGCUCGAGGCUCCGGCCAAGAGCAUGUCUGCCUCAGCGUCGGUUGUGAACAAUCACUCUCUAUCCCGAGGGGUAGCGUGCGGUGGGUCGAGACUCAUUGCUAUGAGUGGAUCUGGCUUCCCCAGCUUUGUGCUGGGUUGGCUGAAGCGCAGAGGCUAGAACAAGGACCCGUAUGGGUAACAACUGGAUAGGUAGAACCGGCUUUGGCCAACUACUCAAAGUUGUUGCUUGUGGACUUUGUUGGCGGCCAUCAGGAUUCAUAACCAACUUUCGACCUGAGCUCAGGCAAGAUUACCCGCUGAACUUAA